UAGCUCAGUUGGUAGAGCAUCUGAUUUGUAAUCAGAGGGUCGCGUGUUCGAAUCCUAU
rnacentral:tRNA from 1 species